ensembl:lncRNA
AAUGCAUUGCAUUACACGUUGGGGAGACAGUAGACACGGACCAAAGCCGCAUAAACCCUUGAGAGUAGAGACUGGAACGACGUCCUCCGGGAAAUACCUUCCCAGAGUUAUGCCUUCAAUUGAGGUCUCCAUUUUCUAUCGAUUGUCUCCACAUCUCCAUCUGAGGCACCAUCCGAAUCCAGGCAGAAAUCUCAAGAGUUCUAAAGUAACAGGGGAUAUAUGUCUUGCUGUGGCCGCUUUAAAGUGCAGAACAGAAACGCAUGUGCAAGGGUCUUGUUGCCACCCACCCACGUAACAUGAGGAGGGAUGUGACACUCUAUGGCAAACAUUCAUUCCGGAGGAGGAUCAGUGCGCUUGAGCUUAUUGGAUAUGAUGAGGGUUUGCAGCAAAAGUAAAUCAGGUUUAUAUAUACAUAUGCAAUAAAUAAAAUAUGAUGGUAUAAAAUUUG